AAAACGACUCUCGGCAACGGAUAUCUCGGCUCUCGCAUCGAUGAAGAACGUAGCGAAAUGCGAUACUUGGUGUGAAUUGCAGAAUCCCGUGAACCAUCGAGUCUUUGAACGCAAGUUGCGCCUCAAGCCGUUAGGCCGAGGGCACGCCUGCCUGGGUGUCACGC
rnacentral:rRNA from 1 species